UACGUAGGGGGCAAGCGUUGUCCGGAUUUAUUGGGCGUAAAGAGCGUGUAGGCGGCCAUGUAGGUCCGUUGUGAAAACUCGAGGCUCAACCUCGAGACGCCGAUGGAAACCAUGUGGCUAGAGUCCGGAAGAGGAGAGUGGAAUUCCUGGUGUAGCGGUGAAAUGCGCAGAUAAUCAGGAAGAACACCCGUGGCUAAGGCGGCUCCUCUAGUACGGUACUGACGCUGAGACGCGAAAGCGUGGGGAGCGAACAGG
rnacentral:rRNA from 1 species